AUUAAAGACAAGGUUGGCAAACAGUAGGAGUUAGGGAUUGGUAUUUGGUAGAAAUGGAACAGCCCUUUUAAUGUCACACCUUACAAGUCCUGUAGAUUAAUAAAUGUCAAACCUUCUCAUUACUAUUGACUGAGUGUGUGAUGUAUAUCCAUUAUUCCAUUACCAUAUCAUCCAUGCAUCGCUCGAGUUUGUUUAGUUUGGGCUUAAUC
rnacentral:lncRNA from 1 species